AAACCUAUAGAUUAGCAGACCUGUACGUUUUGUACCUUGUGUACUCCUGGCGGUAAACCCAUGAACCGUAUUGUGACAUGGUCGGCGUAGAACGGAAAAUAAGAUAUCACUUUGGUCGGAGCCUUCAGCCGAAUAAGUACCUAGUGGCAGAUAAGCUAUCCACGUAAAAGUGGCGAAUAUUUCAUUCUUGUUUCAAGUCAUAGUAUUAUUUUGAAAAGAAAUUAUCCAAGUUUAUUACGUAUGUGUUUAGUGGGCUGAAGAAACGAGGUUGGAGGUUCGCAGCAGUGAUUUGUGGUUUAUCUGCCACUGGGGAAAAUCUUUUAACUACUCCUACCACCUGAGAAGGACCGCUUUUCGACCAAGUCACCUAGGGGACAAGUACUAGAGGAACAUGUAAUUUUUGUUCUUCAUUAUCCUGCAUUUUGGAGAAUUGCCGUGUUACGGUUGACUGCGUAGCACCAUUCUGUGCUUAAGACUUUACUGAGAAGUAGUAAGGAAAACUUGUGGGGACAAUAUCAGGUCAAUCGGGUUUGUUUCGGGAACUUUUUAUAUUUAACAGUGCAAUAGUUAUCUACCUAUACCAGUACACUUAUACACUUAUUUUUUUUAUAAUAUCCAGAACAUUUAAGUAAUUAACAUACACAUAAUUCAAUAGCGCUCCCACACCUGUAUGUCUCUUUGUAAAAGAGGAUAAUUUGGGCCCAAAUAACCUUUUCCCAUACAGUAGUUCCUUACAUUUAUUUUUUAUUAAUAUUAUUAGACUUGUUUCCCAUAUUUUUCAUAUAACUAUAUAUAUAUUUUAAUAUUAUUAGCUUGUUUCUUGUAAUUUAAAUUCCCAAUUUGUUUGCUUAACUUAAAUUCAUUUGUUAUUAAAUUAAAUUCAAUCCCUAAUCCCUAUCCCUUCAGGAUAGCUAUUAGUUUCACUUGGUCAUUAUUAAAAACCACGAGUCAGAAAAAGGAUCUUUAUCAUCUAGGACUGCGUUGGUUCAGUUAGGUGUUGCCUAUUCAACUCAUUGAGUUAUAUAUAUUUGUAUGGUUCAUCCUAGGUAGGUAUUUUAGUAUUGAUUUCUUGUAGUAUUUAACGUUGCUGUACGUAUUACAAUCGUACGAUUAUUUGGUGAAGGUUGUUGUUUAACCUUAGUGUAAGUUGGGGGUACGCUCCAUAUAAGAGCUACCCCAGUACUAAUGUAAUUAUAGUUGUAUACUCAUAUUCAGAUAAGUAGUUAAGUCAAAUUGUCAUUUUAGAGUUACAUAGGUUGUAUUUUUUCUAACUCAGAGGUUGUCAAUAAUCUAGGUAGUUAUAUUUUAAUAAAUAUUUAUUUGUUUGUA
rnacentral:lncRNA from 1 species